UUGUAGACUUGUUCUAGGUGACUGACUAAAGUUUGCUGGAAUGCAACGCCUUAGAGGGUGACAGCCCCGUUAAGUCUUAACCGAUUGUAGAGCAAUGUCAAAGAGUCGAGUUGUUUGGGAAUGCAGCUCAAAGUGGGUGGUAAACUCCAUCUAAAGCUAAAUAUUGGCGAGAGACCGAUAGCGAACAAGUACAGUGAUGGAAAGAUGAAAAGAACUUUGAAAAGAGAGUGAAAUAGUACGUGAAAUUGUUGAAAGGGAAGGAUUUAGUGGUAGACUUGGCUUUACGGAACAGUUGUCUCUCGGGAUUGCGUACUCCGUCUUUUGCCGGGUGAAGCCAUGUGAUGAGGGGUUAAGAAACCUCUAGGAAUGUGGCACCAACUUGUUGGUGUGUUAUAGCCUAGAGAAAUUGACCCAUUCGCUACAUUGGCUUCACGUAAUACUACUAAAUCACCCGUCUUGAAACACGGACCA
rnacentral:rRNA from 1 species